UGCAUCGGUCGGGAAUCGAUCCCGGGCCACCCGCGUGGCAGGCGAGCAUUAUACCACUAAGCCACCGAUGC
rnacentral:tRNA from 1 species